rnacentral:lncRNA from 1 species
GCGCAUUUGAUAUAUUCUAUACUGCAGAAGCAAAUUCUUUCCCUACUUGGAGCAUUAUUUUAUUAAACACAAUUAGCAACUAUUUACUAUUUAACAUCUUUCUGUACAUCUCUAUUACGAUAUAAGUAUUACCUAACUUAUUGCAUGUGUGAAAUCUUAUCUUUACUACAGUGCCAUCAGUUGAGUUGAAAGUCACAACGAAAGAAUACAAAUACAAUACAAAGAGUACAAUGUCAAUGAAUAUAAAUACUAUUUCUACCAUACAUGCAUGUGUAACAUACAGUAAACAAAGUUUAUGAAUAUAGGUGCUAGUAUUGUUGUCAUAAUAUUUAGCCAAUACGCUUUUCGCGCAAGAGUAGUUCUAAAACCAAAGAGUACGAUGAGCAAUUGCAAGAAUAUUAAUGUGUUUAUGCAACGAAAUUUAACAGCAUAGCUUUAUGAUUGCAUUGCAAAAAAGGGGCAAGAUACAAAGACGGGCAAGAUACUUUUCCAAACUAUGUUAACUUCGGGUGUUCUCUUGCGCGCAACAUUGCAAUGUUGAUUGGCAAGUUGACCUGAGCAACUUGCAACUGUUUCGGGAAGAUUGACGUCCGGUUACAUCAGAAAUUCAACAUUUUCACAUGAAAGAAAAUGCUUCCCACUUACACAGCAGUAUUAUAUUAAAAUAUGAAUUUGCAUUUAUUUGGAAAAAAGUGCUGAGAACCUUCACUAGAUGUUUUCAAAUUGAUCAAGCCAAAUUGACAAUCAACAUUGCAAUGUUGCAGAGCAAUAUUGCAAUGUAGCGUGCAAGAGAACACUCGUUUUGACUGUAAGUAACAAUUUUGAUACACAAGUUCUCCUCACUGCGACGACAUAUGCACAAUGACUCCCUGAAAAAAACUUUUAGAACUCUUAUAGAUAAUUGAUUCAAAUUUGUCAACAUGUAACAUGUAACAUGUAUUUGUAUGCAUAACACAUGGUUUUAUGAUUUCGAUGCACGAUAUCCCAAGAUAUUGAAAUUUUUUUCAGAAAGCAUUAUACAAUAUGACGUCAUAGCGAGGAUAAUUUGCAUAUCUAAAAAUGUUAAAUAUACCAAGAACGAAGCCAGCUUAGGCCUGUUUCAUACGUCGAAUGCAAUUCAAACAAUAGAUAAUGAAGUUUAAUGAGGUUUAUCAUCUCAUUAUCUAUUGUCUUAAUUGCAUUCGACGCGACCAAAAUUCGAUGUAUAAAACGGGCCUAAGGCCUGUUUCAUACGUCGAAUUUAAUUUAGACGAAUUUAAUUCGUUAUUAAAUUCGUCAAUUGGUCGAUAUUAAAAUGGUUUCAAACGACGAAUUUAAUUCAGACUAAUUUAUUUCAUCGAUCAUGGAUUACCCAGAAAUAAAAACCAAGAGAUCAGAAAGACAGAAACAGACUUUAAACGUAAUUUAUGCAUUUAAUUCGACACGAUCAGUAAGACGUCGUAUGAAACGAAGACGCACUACAGACGUUGUAUCCGUCUGACCAUGACGGAUACAACGCCGUCUUGGACGAGUUUAAUUCAUCAGACUAUAGUGCAACGGACAAGUUUAAUUCGUUCUGAAUUAAAUUCGACGAUAGUGCAACGUAUAAAACAGACCUAAGGUAGUUUGGGCAAGGUAUCUUAUUUGGUCAUUUUAAAUUUUCUUUAAUUAAGCUUUUGUUUCUCAAACGUUUGUGCUGUCACUUGCUUGGGUGGUAACAGAUCCCCCAGCUCGUUAAACAUGCAAAUAUAGGUAUUUAGCUAUCCCUACUGCGUCCCCGUACUUGAAACUAAAAGUGGACAAACUAGUUGCACAUUUUAUGCUAUAAUAGAAAAGUAUCUCGUUUACAAAAAUAUCAACAUGUUCAGAAAGUCAAGAUUUCCUUAGGAUAAGAAUUUAUCCAUUUGUCUUUCAGUAAGGACUUUCACUCAUAUUCAAAUACAAACUACAUAAAAAGUAUAAAGAGAAAAAGGCAAACCAAGCUUACAGUAAAAGCCCGUGAGUUAAGAACCAGUGAGUCUUAUAAAAACCGGUCUGAAAUUUAGGCAAUUAAACGCCCAUGCAAGGACAUACAAGAACCACUUAAAUUAGGUUGGUAACUAAGAUUAGUU